UUUAUUAUGCCAAUUUUAAUGAUAAGUUAAGGCUUAGAAAGAAUAAUUAAAUAUCUUAUUCAAAGUCACAUAGCUAGUAUGUAACAGGUGGGAAUUCAAACUCAAGACCAGCUCUAGAGGACAUAAAUUUAAUUACUACCCAAUCAGGACUCUAUUUUGGGUCUGUUUUCCCUCAGAACUUGUUCAGAUUAGUACUGGUAAUUUUAUUUAAAGAAAGGCAUAUUUGAUUUGGAGAAGAUUCUAGAGAAGGGCACAAAGUCAGAGAGUUUAAAGUGGGAGGAAGAAGGGUUGCUAUGGGAGAGUCUGGCUUUUAUAAUUUAACUCUCCAGUCUAGAUUUAAAAAUGCUGAGGGAAUUUGUGCAAAGGUUUUACAGAGAAUGGAUUCAGUAGCUGCCUUCUGAUGUGGUGCCAUAGAUAACGGUAGAACUGGGUAACAUGUUAAAGCAAGCUAUGGAAAUCGUGAGUAGGAGCAGGUCAAAGGAAAGGUUAAAUUCUGGGAGUACUGGGAAGGUAGAAGUCAAAAAGAAAAACUAAAUCAAACCAGAUUGAAUAAUCAAGAACUAAGUAUCAUAGGGAAACAGGAUGUGGUAGAACAGAAAUAGCAUAUUCAAACUGGUAGAUCCUACUGACUUUGGAAGGCCCUUAUGUUUAUUGUUUGUUGUUUGUGCCCUUUUAUUUGUUUCAAAAACCAAGAGCUGGCAUAAAUAUGGGCCAUGUAGUGUUUGUGGUACAGAGAUUGCUAUGCUUUUGGCACAGAAAACACAAGAAUCAAUACUAGCCUAAAUUUAUGCAUGUUUAAGCAUAUUACAAAGUCUCUAAUUUAGUACAACAAACUGGUAAACCAAUUUUUGAGUGCCUAUUUUGUGCCAUCCAAUUUUGAACUGUUCUUAGGGGCAUUUAAAAAUAUCUAUUCGGAAUUUAGCUUUCAAAUACAAGAGAAUACCUGUUAGCUUUCCUGAGGGUUUGAUGGAUAUGAGGAAGAAAUAACUUAAUUUUAAUUGGUUC
rnacentral:lncRNA from 1 species